rnacentral:rRNA from 1 species
GACAUAGGUGGCGACCCUUAUCCGGAUUUAUUGGGCGUAAAGGAUGCGUAGCUGGUGGAAUAAGUUAUUGGUCAAAGUCAAGCUCAACUUGGCGGAAGCUGGUAAUACUAUUCUACUUGAGGAUAGGAGAGGUUGGCGGAAUUCUGUGUGGAGCGGUGAAAUGCGUUGAUCUACAGAGGAACACCAAAAAAGGCGAAGGCAGCCGACUAUUCUAUUCCUGACAUUGAGGCAUGAAAGCGUGGGGAGCAAACCGG